CUACAUUCAGUUGGGCACUCUAAUGAGACUGCCGGUGACAAGCCGGAGGAAGUGGGGAUGACGUCAAGUCCUCAUGGCCCUUAUAGUGGGGCUACACACGUCAUACAAUGGCUGGUACAAAGGGUUGCCAACCCGCGAGGGGGAGCCAAUCCCAUAAAGCCAGUCGUAGUCCGGAUCGUAGUCUGCAACUCGACUACGUGAAGUCGGAAUCGCUAGUAAUCGUGGAUCAGAAUGUCACGGUGAAUACGUUCCCGGGUCUU
rnacentral:rRNA from 1 species